ensembl:lincRNA Pvt1 uncharacterized LOC110335330
CACAUGGACCCGCUGGUCAAGCGGGCUCUGCAAGGCCAGGAUGAAGAGAAGCUGCGAACUUACCACUCCCAGAGCCCCCCGAGUGGAUAUCCGCGUGUAAAGGAUGUUGGCAGCCUCGGUGACCUCGGAGUCACGGCUGGACCCACCCUCCCGUCUGAUUUUCUUAACUCGACCACGGUAAGAAGAUGCCCUCCUGCAGCAGGCCGUGCUUGCGGACCCCUCUGGAGACUUCCCGAACCCUGUGGAUUUACAGUAAGAUGCAGUUUCCCUGGGGAGUAAUUCUGGUGGAUACAAAUUCCGGAGUACCUCACCUGGCUUGCCUGGAGACGCUACAAGGAGCUGGAUGGAUUCUUCUAGCCUAGAUGCCCCCUGAGAAUGCGGUCGCAGCUCAGAGCACUGUAUGUCUACCCUUGACUCAACGGGAAUAUUUGCUCUCAUCUCUCGGGCUACCUGGAGCUCUCUCUAAAAUAGAGCUGAGUCCUGUCACUGCAGACAUUGGCAGUGGCGCUUGCAUGCCCCUGGCAAGUGGUCUGUCCUGAGGUGGCUGAAUUCUGGCUGGUAACCAGCCCAGAUGAGAAGCGUUGACUUAAGAGAUGCCAAGUCACUCAGCAGAUGUCACACAGAUGACAACUAGCAAAGAUGGAAGGCUUCAUGCUGGAGGCAGUUCUAUAAGACAGCUGAGUUCUCCAGAGCUGGUAGGAGACAGACUUGCUCAGGUGAUAGAUCCGGCCAUGAUAUUGGCCAUAAGAGAAUCUGACACUGCAGAAGUCAUAGAAGAUUCCUGAAACUGGGAAAGAUGCCUAGAAAUCUGGAGAAGAGUGAAGAAGCCAUGGAUCCCUACCUGGGUGAUAGAAAACAAAAUAAAGCAAGAAUGAAGAAAUCUGGGGGCUGGACACGACAAAGGAGAGAAGAUGACAGGCUCCUUAAAUGAAAGGAACUUAAAUGAAUUGUCAAGUAGGGGCUGCAGAAAUGGCUUGGAAGUUACAAGUGAUUGCUGCUAUUGCAUAGGACCAACUUGUAGUAGUAUAUUAUGGAUGGAGCCUAGGGUGAAAUAGGAUCCCUCUUUCUCUGCUGGGUAAUGAAAAGCAUGGCACUCAACGGUUAGAUGAUCACAUACAAAUAACAGUGGGUACAUUGAAUGUGGGCACUAAAGUGAUAACCUGAUGAGGGUCCAGUGAAAUGACGAGGGCCCCACCAAUGCUCACCACUGCACUUCAUAAUCCCUUGAACAUUUUGACUUUCUGAAUAGUCAGGGCUGGUCUUCCAUUUGGGUCUACCAAGCCAGAGUAUUCCCUGAGACACUUUGCAAGCCUCCUUGCUGUGAAAGAAGAGGACUAUGCUUGGAAGGUUUCAGACCACACUCAACAGUGAGUGAUGGGCAGAGGUGACUGUGUGCUUUGUACCAUUAUGUAAAGGAGACACAGUCUUCCAGUUAUCUUCCACAGUUUCACAGCUGUGACUUACUAAAGACCAAAUCUGGCCAUGCCACUCUAUGCCCAACAUCUGCAGGAUCAAGACCCUACUCUAGAGUAAGUUUGUCCACAGUCAUGCCUUUCCCCCACUUCUCUCUCCACACUGCCACAAUUGUCAACUUGAUACAAGCUAAAAUUAUCUGAAAAGAAGAAACCUCAAUUAAGAAAACUCUCCCUACCAGAUUGGCCUGUGGAACAGUUUCUUGGUUUAAGACUGAUGUAGGAGGGCCCAUCCCACAAUGCUGAUGCCAUCCAUGGGCUGGUGGUCCUGACUCCUGUUAGAAAGCCAACUGAGGAAGCUAUGAGAAGCAAGUCUUAAAAGGAUUCUGCUUCAGUUCCUGCAUUCAAGAACCUUACUUGCUUGAUUUCUUGCCCGGACUUCCCUCAGUGAUGGAUCUUUAUCUAAAAGUCUAAUCUGAAAUAAGCACUUUCUUCCCAACUUGCUUUUGCUUAGUGUUUUACUACAGCAGUGGAAACUCUUAAGAUGAGGCCCCGAGAUUCCAUCUCUGUGUUGGUCAGGGUCUGGCAGAGCCUCUUAGGAGACAGUUGUAUCAGGCUCCUGACAGCAAGCAUUGGACUGAGCAUGGGGACCCCAAUGGAGGAGUUAAAUGAAAGACUGAAGGAGCUGGAGGGGCUUUAUCUGGCAUCAAUGGGAGGAGAGGCCCAUUGGUUCUGUGAAGUCCUCUUGGUCUUGUGACAGCUUGAUGCCACAGUGUAGAGGAAUGAUAGGGCAGUGAGGCAGGGAUGAGUGGAUGGGAAAACACCCUCACAGAAGCAGGGUAAGGGUAAUGAUAGGGGGUUUUCAGAGGGGAAACCGGGAAAGAGGAAGACAUUUAAAAUGUAAAAAGCUAUCCAAUUAAAAAAAUAAAUUGUAUUUGUCAGGCACUGCUAGAGCCUCUCAGGAGACAACUAUAUCAGGCUUCUGUCAGUAAGCACUUGUUGGUAUCCACAAUACUGUCUGGGUUUGGUAACUGUAUAUGGGAUGGAUCCCCAGGUGGGACAGUCACUGGAUGACCUUUCCUUCAGUUUCUGCUUCAAACUUUGUCUCUAUAUCUCCUCCCAUAGGUAUUUUAAUCCCCUUCUAUGAAGGAUUGAAGUAUCCACACUUUGGUCUUCCUUUUUCUUGAGCUUCACAUAGUCUGUGAACUGUAUCUUGAAUAUUCUGAGUUUCUGGGCUAAUAUGCACUUAUCAGUGAGUGCAUGCCAUGUGUGUUCUUUUGUGAUUGGGUUACCUCACUCAGGUUGAUUGGACUGAGCACAAGGUCCCCAAUGAAGGAGCUAGAGAAAGGACCCAAGGAGCUGAAGGGGUUUGCAGCCCCAUAGGAGGAAAACCAUUUGAGCCAACCAGUACCCCCAGAGCUCUCAGGGACUAAACCACCAACCAAAGAGUACACAAGGAUGGACUCAAACCUUCAGCUGUAUAUGUAGCAGAGGAUGACCUGUGGGACAUCAAUGAGAGGAGAGGUCCUUGGCCUUGUGAAGGCUUGAUGCUCCAUUGUAGGGGAAUGCCAGGUCAGGGAAGCAGGAGUGGGUAGGUUAAUGAGCAGAGGAGCAGGGAUGGGAUAGAGAGGUUUUAGGAGGGGAAAUGAGGAAAGGGGAUAAAAUUUGAAAUGUAAAUAAAGAAAAUAACUGAUACAAAAUAAAAAAAUAAAAUAAAUUGUAUAUAUUAAGAAUAAAAAAACCUACCUUAGCUGCCAUUGGUGUUGCUUCCUUUUCCGUACACAACCCUAAGAUUCAUUGUAUUGGGACCUCCAUGCCAGUGGGUUCUACAUUUAAGUAUUUAAACAACUACAGAAUAAAAGAAAGAAAGAAAAAAUGAAAAAUUUACAUGUCU